AGUUAGACGUCCGAGAUG
rnacentral:miRNA from 1 species